AGAGUUUGAUCCUGGCUCAGAGUGAACGCUGGCGGCGUGGAUUAGGCAUGCAAGUCGAGCGCGAAACCACCCUUCGGGGUGGGAGUAGAGCGGCGAAAGGGUGAGUAAUGCAUGGUCAACCUACCCCUGAGACCGGGAUAACUGGCCGAAAGGCCAGCUAAUACCGGAUGCCCACCAAGGAACCAUGGUUCCCUGGUGGAAACGGUUGGGAUCCUUCGGGACCUUCUGCUCAGGGAGGGGACCAUGUCCCAUCAGCUUGUUGGCGGGGUAACGGCCCACCAAGGCUAUGACGGGUAGCUGGCCUGAGAGGGUGGUCAGCCACACUGGGACUGAGACACUGCCCAGACUCCUACGGGAGGCUGCAGUCGAGAAUCUUCCGCAAUGGGCGAAAGCCUGACGGAGCGACGCCGCGUGGAGGAUGAAGGCCUUCGGGUUGUAAACUCCUGUCACGGGUUAUGAAUGGCGUGUCGUGAACAGCGGCACGCUGANAAAGG
rnacentral:rRNA from 1 species